GAGGACUAACAGGGAUUCCCCUAGUAACUGCGAGUGAAGCGGGAAGAGCUCAAAUUUAAAAUCUGGCGGUCUUUGGCCGUCCGAGUUGUAGUCUGGAGAAGUGCUUUCCGCGCUGGACCGUGUACAAGUCUCUUGGAACAGAGCGUCAUAGAGGGUGAGAAUCCCGUCUUUGACACGGACUACCAGUGCUUUGUGAUGCGCUCUCAAAGAGUCGAGUUGUUUGGGAAUGCAGCUCAAAAUGGGUGGUGAAUUCCAUCUAAAGCUAAAUAUUGGCGAGAGACCGAUAGCGAACAAGUACCGUGAGGGAAAGAUGAAAAGCACUUUGGAAAGAGAGUUAAACAGUACGUGAAAUUGCUGAAAGGGAAACGCUUGAAGUCAGUCGCGUCGUCCAGGACUCAGCCUUGCUUAYGCUCGGUGCACUUUCUGGACGAUGGGCCAGCAUCGAUUCUGACCGUUGGAAAAGGGCUGGGGUAAUGUGGCACCUCUGGGUGUGUUAUAGACCUCGGUCGCAUACAGCGGUUGGGAUUGAGGAACGCAGCGUGCCGCAAGGCAGGGGUUCGCCCACUUUUCACGCUUAGGAUGCUGGCAUAAUGGCUUUAAACGACCCGUCUUGAAACACGGACCAAGGAGUCUAACAAACCUGCGAGUGUUUGGGUGGAAAACCCGAGCGCGCAAUGAAAGUGAAAGUUGAGACCUCUGUCAUGGAGGGCAUCGACGCCCGGACCUGACGUUYYYYYKGAMMSGAWYCSSSGGUA
rnacentral:rRNA from 1 species